rnacentral:rRNA from 1 species
CAUGCAGUCGAGGGGCAGCAGGAUCUAGCAAUAGAUUGCUGGCGACCGGCGCACGGGUGAGUAACACGUAUCCAACCUGCCGAUAACUCGGGGAUAGCCUUUCGAAAGAAAGAUUAAUACACGAUGGUAUAAUCAGACCGCAUGGUCUUGUUAUUAAAGAAUUUCGGUUAUCGAUGGGGAUGCGUUCCAUUAGGCAGUUGGUGAGGUAACGGCUCACCAAACCUUCGAUGGAUAGGGGUUCUGAGAGGAAGGUCCCCCACAUUGGAACUGAGACACGGUCCAAACUCCUACGGGAGGCAGCAGUGAGGAAUAUUGGUCAAUGGGCGCAGGCCUGAACCAGCCAAGUAGCGUGAAGGAUGACUGCCCUAUGGGUUGUAAACUUCUUUUAUACGGGAAUAAAGUUUUCCACGUGUGGAAUUUUGUAUGUACCAUAUGAAUAAGGAUCGGCUAACUCCGUGCCAGCAGCCGCGGUAAUACGGAGGAUCCGAGCGUUAUCCGGAUUUAUUGGGUUUAAAGGGAGCGUAGGUGGACAGUUAAGUCAGUUGUGAAAGUUUGCGGCUCAACCGUAAAAUUGCAGUUGAUACUGGCUGUCUUGAGUACAGUAGAGGUGGGCGGAAUUCGUGGUGUAGCGGUGAAAUGCUUAGAUAUCACGAAGAACUCCGAUUGCGAAGGCAGCUCACUGGACUGCAACUGACACUGAUGCUCGAAAGUGUGGGUAUCAAACAGGAUUAGAUACCCUGGUAGUCCACACAGUAAACGAUGAAUACUCGCUGUUUGCGAUAUACAGUAAGCGGCCAAGCGAAAGCAUUAAGUAUUCCACCUGGGGAGUACGCCGGCACGGUGAAACUCAAAGGAAUUGACGGGGGCCCGCACAAGCGGAGGAACAUGUGGUUUAAUUCGAUGAUACGCGAGGAACCCUUACC